GACUGUAGACUACCAAUCAGAAACGUAGGAUUCGCCGAUCGCAGACAACCAAUCACACGCCGCCAUUCAAAGCUGAACCUGCCGCUGAGGUCAACGGAGGUCACUGGUGAUCGUAGCCAACAGUAUUUCUGUGUAUUUCAGUAUCUAAAAGUGAAGAUGGCAACCCCAGUAAUCCACAUUGUCAACCCAGAGGCCCCUGCACACCGUCAACAGGCUGAACUGAUGGCAACUAAAGAGGCCCGUUGCUAUCGUGACAAAAAGAUAUUCUUCCCUAAACCUCCACAGGAGCUGCUCCUCCGGACAGCGCCCUGACACACGCAGAGAAGCUCCUUCCAGCAGAGGGCAUCCCUGCAUCAUCCCCUCAGCUGUGCCUGAAAAAGCUGGUAGUCCCUUGUGGCUAGUAUAGUACUUCUACUGGCUUGAUGCAAAUGAUGUGGGAUACAUAAAGCUUAUUAUAUUCAGUA